GACGAACGCUGGCGGCGUGCUUAACACAUGCAAGUCGAACGGAAAGGCCCUGCUUUUGUGGGGUGCUCGAGUGGCGAACGGGUGAGUAACACGUGAGUAACCUGCCCUUGACUUUGGGAUAACUUCAGGAAACUGGGGCUAAUACCGGAUAGGAGCUCCUGCUGCAUGGUGGGGGUUGGAAAGUUUCGGCGGUUGGGGAUGGACUCGCGGCUUAUCAGCUUGUUGGUGGGGUAGUGGCUUACCAAGGCUUUGGCGGGUAGCCGGCCUGAGAGGGUGACCGGCGACAGGUGGAGAGGGAUGCGGCCACGAGUCGUAGGGGGGGCAGCGGGGGGGAAGGUUGGCGCGGGGGAGGAGGCUGGCGGCAGCGGCGGGGGGGGUGGUCUGGUGGGUUGGGGGUUGUCAGCGGCCUGCGCCGGGGAGGAAGGGGGGUGGCGGGUAAGGGAAAAAGACGCACCGGCAAACGGCGUGCGAGAGGCGGCGGGAAUAGAUAGAAGAGGACACUCUGGCC
rnacentral:rRNA from 1 species